UUGGCAAGACAUUUUCCCACUGACAAGUAUUAUCCUCUUGAUCUCAGGGAAGGUCAAUGAUGUCGGAGAGGCUUUAGUUAAAUCACUUCAGAACACGAAAUAUUCAAUAGAUGAGAAGUUUCGGGAAAAUUCAUAAUCCAUCCUCAUCAAAUCAUGCUAAAGCUGAUCAAACUAAUGAUUUGGUGCCUGCGGAGCGAGAUCAGUCUGUCUUUGAACCCAACAGUGAUGGAUCAGAUGAAGACAAUGAUUCUGAAGAUUUGAAUGAGUUGGAACCAGUACAGUUGAAGCGUACUCAUCCAAAGGAGUCAAAGGACACCUCUGAUGAUAGUUCUGAGAAAGAGGAUACUAUUGGAUCAGAGAAGCACCCAGGAUCGAGUAGUUGUUUCAGAGAACAUGUUGAUUUCCAUGACGGAAGAAUGAGAAGAAAAGCUAUCUUUGAUAAUGAUAAUGAUAAUGAUUUUGAUGAAAAGGUAAGCCACUGACAUUCCUGAUCUAGUUCCUGUCCUUCUCGUUGUGCCUCAUCUUGUCUAUGAGGUGUUUGUGUAUAGUGGAUAAAAACCAAGUAGACAGCUAUAUGUACCAGAAUAUUAAGGAGGAAAGCUUAUAUCUCCUUUUUUUCUUUUCUUUCCGAUUUUGAAAUCUAAUGAACCUGUUGCUUUCCAACUAUGUAAGAGUCCCUGGAAAUUGUGCAGGUUUUUUUUUGGGAGCAGAGGUUAUUUGCAUGAAGAAUAGUGCUUUCUAAAACUCAUCAAUUACCCCUUUCCAAUAUUUAUAUAAACCUCACCUGCAUAUUAUUGUUCACAUUAAUUUGUAUAAGUUGUUACGUCUUCACAUAUAUGCUCUGAACUUAAGUUUUGACCCAAGUUACACUCUUGUAUAUCCUGGUUCACCGUGUGGUGGAAUUGGACUUUGAUAUGCGUAUAUGUUGUAUUUAUACUAUAUCAUUAAAUCCAGGAUUAUAGUUAAGAUGUCGAAGAGGAUGCACAAGACGAGGAUUUAGAGGAUACUGAUGAAGAAAAUGAAGCUUAUCAAAAUUCAGGGGAUGAUGAUGAUUUUGAUAUAGAUGGUAGGUUUUUGAUCUUCAUUUUGUACAGACAUCAUUCUAUGUGUAGUUUGAUCUCCAUUUAGUACUUCAUCAUCCACUUGGCCAAGGAGUAAAUGAAGUUCCUAACAAAGUGUUUUAGUAUGCCAGAAAUUAGGAUCUCAUAGAAGGAGCUGAUGAGGUACACUCUAGACUCUACUUCAUAGAUCACUAAUCAUCAAUAUCAAAAGAAGGAAAGACAUUUCACUAUACUAAAAAUCAUAGAUUUUGAAAUGUAUAUCUCCCAAUCACCAUUUAGCAGUUCAUCUCCUUGGUAAAUGUGGUUCGAAGAAAUAAAAAUAUCAACAAUCAAGAAAUUUGACAAUACUGAAAAUCAAGAAACCAUAGAUUUAGAAAAGUAAAUCUUCUAUAAAGAAUGAAUUUUGAAACAAAAGAGUCAAAAUACAAUUAAAUAAGUCGUUCACACAUAGAUCAUAUCAUAAAUCUGAGUAAAAUCCGACAGUUCAUAUAUAUAAAUUUUGGUCAAUUGAAACAUGAAAUGUUUACAUUCAACUAGUUCCACAUAAGCAUAAUACAAGGAAUCAAAACAAUUUCCAACAAUUGAAACAGAUGACAAUCAAAUGGAACAAAUUAAGAAUAAAUCACUUUUCAUGACAUAUAUAAUGGAUAAUCGUAAAAAGAAUUUUAGAGUUUUUAAUGAAUACUGGUAAUCAAAAAACAUUAGAAGAAUUAAGGAAAGAACUCACAAUGCCCGGGGGUUGAGUUGUCGUAAACAAAGAAGGGGGAAAAGCGGUUUGAAACCCUAGUGGUGACGAGAACCGUGUGUGAAGAGGAGAGUGGAGAGAGUUCAAUAUUGCAGAAAUUUAGCAAAGAGUUAAAGAUCGGAUUAAUUGGUUAACAGAUAGAGAGAUUUAAUUACGAUCGUCAAUAAUUCACGUUAGUAUGCUUGAUAUGGAAUGUGAUAAUUGUGGUUUUAGUAUCAUUUUAUUUAUGGAUUUUAAUUCACUUAUUUACACCUAUAAUUAUUUUUUUACUUGAUUAUUAUGUUAUCUAAUGGUGUAAAAUAUAUAAUACUUAUAUGUAAAGAAAGAAGAAUAAAUAUUGGUUUCUUUCUUGUACAAGUCAAACUGCUCGACUUGAUUAUUAUGUUAAUUCCUUUUAUCAACUUUGUUUUCUUAUAUAUAUAGCCAAAGAAGCAAACAAUAUUUUCUUUAUACAAACUAAACUCUUCGCUAAAUUUUUGCAAUCUUGAACUCUCUCCACACACGGUUCUCGUCUCCGCUAGGGUUUCAAGCCGCUUUUCCCCCUUCUUCUUUGUUCAUGUCAACUCAUCCCUGGGCAUUGUGAGUUCUUUCUGUAAUUCUUCUAAUGUUUUUUCAUUACCAGUAUUUAUUAAAAACUCUAAAUUUCUUUUUACGAUUAUCCACUAUAUAUGUCAUGAAAAGUGAUUUAUUCUUAAUUUGUUCCAUUUGAUCGUCAUCUGUUUCAAUUGUUGGAAUGUGUUUUGAUUCCUUGUAUUAUCCUUAUGUGGGACUAGUUGUAGGUAAAUAUUUCACGUUUCAAUUGACCAAGAAUUAUAUAUAUGAACUGUAGGAUUUUACUCAGAUUUAUGAUAUGAACUAUGUGUGAAUGACUUAUUUAAUUGCCUUUUGACUCUUUGUUUCAAAAUUCCUUCUUUAUGGAAGAUUUACUUUUCUAAAUCUAUGGUUUCUUGAUUUUCAGUAUUGUGAAAUUUCUUGAUUGUUGAUAUUUUUAUUUCUUUGAACAACAGUUACCAAGGAGAUGAACUGCUAAAUGGUGAUUGGGAGAUUUACAUUUCAAUAUCUAUGGUUUUAAGUAUAGUGAAAUGUCUUUCCUUCUUUUGAUCCUGAUGAUUAGUGAUAUAUGAAGUAGAGUCUAGAGUGUACCUCAUCUGCUCCUUCUAUGAGAUCCUAAUUUCUCGCAUACUAAAACAAUUUGUUAAAGUGGAUUAGGCUGUCUUUCUUUUGAUUGUUCAUAAGUAUGCUUUGAGGGACUUUAUUCUUUAAAUUUUCCUUUGUCACUAACAACGUGCUUUUGGUGCAGAAAAUAUUAAAUGGAAUCGUUGAAGGACAACAUGAUGACUAUUAUCUCUGAUGAGUUUGAGAAUAAUAUCAUGGCUGAUGCUGAGGAAUUUUCUUCAGCUAUUAAACAACAGGACAGUGGGACUCACAAGGUAUGGUUUUCUUCCUCUCCUAGUUUUGAGUAUUUUUAUUCGUUUUUUAUGAAGAACAAUACUGAAACUUGUUUAUUUCGGUACAACAACAUACCCAGUGGAAUCCCACAAGUGGGGUUUGGGGGAGGUAGGAUGUGACUUUACCCCCCCCCCCCCUUCCUUUUUGGAUAGAAAGGCUGUUUCUGAUAACCUUUUUAUUAUAGAAGAAUGGUCGUUUUUUCUUCUGAUCGAUAGGUCUGCAAUAGUGAAACAUAUCCAAGGUUACACAACCAACAAUUACUUGGAUGGAUGAAAAUUACUAUUCAUUUUGCUUCAUUUGAACUCAUCUUAUUCCAAAACCAUUUUUUUUAUUUUCACAACGUAAUUAUAUGGCCAAUCUGAACUCCCCUAUUUUUUUGAGAAGCUGCUUCUUUAGAUCUUGCACUUUCUGAUACUACCUAUUUUUUUGAGAAUCUGCUUCGUUAGAUCUUGCUCUUUCUGAUACUCUCUUGUUUGUCUUUCCAUUGUUUUCCUUAUUUUUUUGAGAGAUGUUGAUGAAUACACUAUUUAAAUGAGCCUUUGUAAGUGAACUUGUUGAAAGUGCCCAACCUAAAUAGAGAGGAGUAGAAAUAAAUGUUUCAUGGGACUGACACCAACUAGUAUGAGUUUGAGCUGUAAUUGAUAUGUAUAUAUCUCUUUCAUCUGAUUACAAUACCUCUUUUGUCUUGGAUUGCAGGUUCCAGAGGACGACUUCAAGGCUGUUGCUUAUAAGCAGGAAUGGAAUGAAGUAUCAAAAUUACCUGCAAACUACAUUAGGAGAGAAGACAUGGAGAUGAAAGAUGUUGCUAUGAAACAUGUAUUGCCUUUCCUUCCUGGUAAAUCAUUGAUGAAGUUUCGGGCAGUGUCCAAUGAAUGGAAACAUUGGAUAGUUUGUCCGUUAUUAGCAUACCAGCAAAGCACUUCAUUCCAGAAACUUUCAGGCUACUUUUAUCAAGUUGUGGAUGUGGAUUUCCAAUCUGAUCCUAAUUUCUUGUCUCUGGACCAUUCUGCGAAUGGUAUCCCCAAUCCUUCCCUGGGUUUCUUGCCUGAAAGGAUUAAAGUUCUCAGUUCUAGCAGCGGGUUGCUCCUUUGCCAGGGGUUGGAGAGUUAUUACGUUUGCAAUCCUCUGACCCUAGAUUGGGAACGUAUCCCUCCUCAUCAAUAUUAUCACGGAUCUGAUCCAGCUGUCAUUCUUGCGUUUGAUCCUCAGGGUAAUAUUGAAUCGUAUUUUCACCUUGUCGCUGCUGUCCCUCUUCUUGAUCAACCAGUUGUGUUCUUUGAGAUUUACUCGUCUCAAUCAAAUUCCUGGAGUCGCUCUUCUUCAGAGUGUCUUGAGUUGGAAGAUACAACUCUUGUUGGUGGGGGAUUAUAUAUGAAGGGGAUGGCGUACUGGAGUACAACAUCAAAUGGUGUGCUAGCAUUUGAUGUGAAAAAUGAGGUCGCUGCAGUUCUACGUGUGCCUAUUCCACCUGGGAGAUAUGGUGCCUUGACUCAGGUAAAGGAUGAGCUAUCCUAUGUAACUGUUUACAACGAUUGUGGGGAUGUUUUUAUGUUAGAUAUAUACGGAGGAAUGGACAUGAGUCUGAAUCACAGUGUCUGCAUAAAUCUUGGACACAAGAAGUCUCGCCAAACACUGGAGGAAGAUCCCUUUAUUGACAAUGGUACUGUGUUGUGCAGCGUAUUACCCUGCAUAAACAGUGGUGAUGACAUUGUGGUGAUCUGCACAACUGAAAGGAUAUAUCUUUAUUACCUGAGUGGGCAGAAGGUUGAGACUUUUAUCACUCCAGGACAGCUAAAUCCGAAGAGAAGAUUCAUACCUUACACAAACAGCCUCGCUGCGAUACAUGAGCUGAAGAACUAGCUGUUGCUGUCAAGUAGAAUUCUCAUGUCCUUCCAUCAGAACUCCUUGAACAUUUUGCAUCUUCUUUUGCUUUUUAUUUGACUUGGAUUGCAGAUUAAGCUGUUUGAAUAGCUUUGUGUUUUUGUUAUAGACAUGCUUUGGAUUGCCAAUAGUUAUUGCGAGGUUUUAGUGGUCAGUUCCUUUCUACUGCUACUAUUUAUAUUUGACGAUGGAAUGUGAGGUAUGAUUAGCUUUACGUUGGAGGUGGAGGGUAUUUACUACUUGAACCGAUCCCUCUUGUUUUUCUCAUAAUGAAGAAUUAAAGCUUAUAUUAUUCAUGUUUACUAGUAUAUACAUAAAAAGAUAUAAAACUAAAUUUUAUUAUAUAUGUGUUUUAAUGAAACUGGGAAUCGAGAAAAAUUCAAAUUAAUUCGGCAUCAAUGAAAGUAGUAAACAUCAGUUGAAAACAUAUAAUUUAUUUUAAUUGAACACAAAAUGUUACUCUUCAAUUUAUUUCAAAUAAUUUUUUUGAGGAAUAUACUGAAGGGAAAAGAAGGAAAUUUACAAGAUUAACUAUGAUAAUAUUCUUAUAAAUUGGGUUAUUCUCUGCUUAUAUACUAGUAAAAACAUUAAAAUUAUCUAAUGUAAUAAUUAAGAUGGACACAAACUAGGAGAUACACGCUAAGUAAAAGUGUAUCUAUCACUAAUAAAAUUUGAUGCAAACUAUACAAUUUUUACUACUUUAAGGUCUAAUUACAUAAUUCUCGUAAGUUUUCAAAAUUACUAUUUGUGUCAGAUUUUGAUCUUCAGAUACAUGUAUAAGCUACUCGUAUACAUUAGGUAAAAAAUAGGUGUAAUUGUAGCUUGGAUACACUAACUUUCUCGGUCACUUCUCUUCUACAUUGCUUGCCUCUCUCCCUCUCUCGCUCACCUCUUUUCCUAUGUAUCUAAAUUUCAGAAUGUAUCUAGUUCCCCAAAUAUAUAUGUCUAGUGUGAUUCGCAUGUAUCUGAGAUACACUGACUCUCUCGCUUGCCUCUCUCCCUUUGUAUUUUUAUUUGAGAAUAUAUGUAAUAGCAAAAAUACAUGUAUAUAAGUGUAUUUAACUUCAAAUUUGAUAUAAAAUUAUUAAUUAGUGAGACAUUAUAUCAUUAUUUCAACGGCAAAGGGCCAAAUAUACCCCUCUACUAUAUGAAAUAGUUUAAAUAUAACCUUAGUUAUACUUUAGGGAUAAAUAUACCCCUCCCGUUAUACUUUUGGGCUAAAUAUACCCUUAUCACUAACAAAGGACACGUGGACAACUGAGAUUAAAUGAACUAUUCAAUUUAAAAUAAAUCAAAUUCGGAUAUGACCCGCCCCGCCCCAAUAACUUAACCCGGCCUAAUAGGUAACAUUUACCCACCCAAUUUGUCUUUCAAACAAUAAAACCUAAUGGGCAAUCCAAAGAGGUCUGCGAACUUUGGAACCUCUGCUUCGCAAACAUGAGUUCAUAUAGUUCUUUGUGGUAAUACUUGUGCACGAUAUAGUUGUAUUGGCAACAUUUGUUUAAUAGCUAAGGUGCAUCAACUAUUUUCAUCAACAUGAAGCCACAGAUUAGCCCAAAAAUCUGAACUUAAUAAUAUAGUAGCAACGCAGCAGCACACCACUCCUAAAAUGAAAUGUAAAUUACAAACUAACUAAUCUGGACAAAAAACAAGUACAACACCCCAAAAUUAUGGUGUUGCAUAUCGUACCAGACUUCUCUUAGCAAGAUGAGUUCUCAAAAAUCUCGAAAUAGAUGAGGAGUAUCAAGGGAACCCUGAGGCCAGUGGAGAGGAUUACUCAGUCGAAUCUCCUAACUAACUAACGCAACAAUAUUUCACCUCAAAAUAUAUAAACAAAUGGUAAAAAAUGUAGCAAGAGUUUGGCGAAGCAUUGGUUCCAAGUUCGCAGACCUCUUUGGAUUGCCCAUUGGGUUUUCUUGUUUAAAGACAAAAUUGGGUGGGUCAAUGUUACAUAUUAGGUCGGGUUAAGUUAUUGGGGCGGGGCGGGUUAUAUUCGAAAUUGUUUUUAUUUUAAAGGGAAAAAGGACAAAUAUACCCCCGAACUUUCGUAAAUGGUAUCUAAAUACCCCUCGUUAUACUUUUAGAACGUUGAUGCCCCUACCGUCUAAUUUUUGGAGCAUGUAUACCCUUUGAACUAACGGAGGGACACGUGUCACGAUCUUAACAACCUAUCAAAAAUUUAUUUAAUUUUUAUUUCCAAUUAAAUAAUCCGACCCGAAUAAUUAAAACCCACCCAAAUAAUUUAAGAUCCACCCAAAUAAAUCCCAUUUUCUCAUUCUUUUCUAGUUCCAACAACCAUACACCCCAAGAAUAGAUACCUAACACCACUGCCCCGACUCCAUCUUCUCCGGCGAAGCUCCACGUACAAAACCACCUCUAAUUGCUAUUGAACUCAACCUCUUUUGCUCUAGCGACACUCCAGCGAAAUCAGUGAGGUAGCGACCCUUCAUCCACCAUGAAACCUGACCACCACUCACCCAUCCCUCCCUCAAUGUUGCUCCAACAAUUCCGGCGAAUCGAACCAGCGAACUCUAGGGAAUCGAACCAGCGAACUCCGGCAAAUCGAACCAACGACCUCCGGCGAAUCGAACCAGUAAACUCCGGCGAAUCGAAUAAGCGACCUUCGAAUGGCUUUAUAAUCAUAAAACAAAAGUCAAUAACUUUUUUAGAUGACUGAAAUUUUGAAAAAAAAGACUGUAGGGCUGAAAACCAAGAAAAUAGAUCUGUGAAGAUCGAAAAUCAACAAUACAUUCAGCAGCCACAGGGAAAGCAUCACAUACUGCAAUGACCUUUGGGAACACUUCCUGCAUUUUUCAAGCGUAAAUUGGUACUGGUAUUCGUACCAAACCAAAGCUUCCUGGUUUGAUUGGCAAUUCAAGGAUUACUUAACUUUCCUACAUGAAUUUCCAUUUCCAAGGAAUUUAAUGCUAACAUGGCUUUAGAAAACUUUGAAUUUUGCUUUAUGAUUAGUUCUUGAUCUCCUUCUCUUGAUAACUUGGUUAUAAUUUCGGAGCGGGUCAUAAAUUACUUGGGUGGGUUUUUAAUUAUCCGGGUCAAUUUUUUAAUUAAAAAUAAAAAUUAAAUACGUUUUGGAUAGAUUGUUAAGAUCAUGACACGUGUCCCUCUGUUAGUCCAAAGGGUAUACACGCUCCAAAAAUUAGACGGUAGGGGCAUCAACGUUCUAAAAAUAUAAUGAGGGGUAUUUAGAUACCAUUUACGAAAGUUCGGGGAUUUAUUUGUCCUUUUUCCCUAUUUUAAAUUGAAUAGUUCAUUUAAUCUCAGCCAUCCACGUGGCCUCAUAAGGGUAUAUUUAAACCAAAAGUAUAACGGUAGGGGUAUAUUUAGCUCGAAAGUAUAACUAGGGGUAUAUUUAAACUAUUUCCUAUAGUAGAGGGAUACAUUUGGCCCUUUGCCGUUAUUUCAAACACUAUGGAAAAUUAAUUUAGGGGGUUUGAAUUGACUUUUUAAAAGUAAUUUAUAAGCACCACAAUUGGGCACACCUAGCUUUUGAUAUUUUAAAAACUUUCUCUGCCUAAUUUUUUUUUAAACACUUUUUUAUAUUUCCAAACACUUUCUAAAUUUAAAAAAAAAAGCGUAAAGAAAUAAAAAAUAACUUACAAUAAAUCAAUCUAGACACUCUCCAAAAAAUGAUAGAAAUAUUUAUAUAAUAAGAUUCGUAUAAUUUAAGUUACGAACUUACAAGUCACGCUAAGUAGUAUAUAAUAUAACGGAAUAACCUUAGUAAAAUACUCUACAUAUUUAAACAGUUCGCUGCGCUACUAUGCCCUUAAACCCUUUUCCAUAAACAGUGUCUUCUUUAAACCCUUUGCAGUAUUUAUCCAUCCCAUUCUUCUUCUUCUUCGCCGCCGACGACGAUGCUCAUAGUCUUUUGAGGGUUGCAGUUGGAAACCCAGAACGCCAAAUUGAUUCAUAGACUUUUCUCUCUCUGCCAUGGCUAUCGACGGAGAACAGUCGCACAAAUCUCACAGGUCACGUCAGUCUGGUCCUACCGCCAAGAAAAAAUCCAAGUCCGACAAGAAAAAAAAGGGUGCUUCCGACGAAAACAAUAAACAACAUAAUCCUAAGGUUUCUUGAAUAGUAUUUUUUCUUGUAGUUCUUUUUUGUUCUUUAUGUGCCUGGGUUCGUCUACUGUUUUACUCUAUUCUUGACUGAUUUUUAUUAAUAAUCUGGGUAAAUGUUUGUUUCAGUCUAUUUUGUUGGUCUACCCAGUCAUAUAUGAAUAGAUUUUGUUAGUUCUUUUAACUCUAGACCUAAGUCUCCUCACUGGCUCCAGGGUCUUAACUUUUAUCAUGUAAUGGAGAAAGCAUAGCUACUUUUGUACUCUUUGCAUCUCCUUGAUUAAUUCAUCAAGAAAAUAAUAAUUUGGGCACAAGUCCAAGAUUUCUUGAAUAGUAAUUUCUUGAGACUUAUAAUGUAAAUUUGUAGGCAUUUGCAUUUAAUUCCACGGUGAAAGCAAAGAAAUUGCAAGCACGAGCAACAGAGAAGGAGCAGAAGAGGCUUCAUGUCCCAACAGUUGAUAGGUCCACUGGUGAACCAGCUCCAUAUGUUAUUGUAGUGCAGGGACCUCCCAAGGUUGAUUUCACAUGGUUGUUUUUGGUUAGAUGUCAUUCAUUGGGUUUUAGAUUUGAUCUUCUUAUGUAUUAUGCUAUUAUAGGUUGGGAAGUCACUGUUAAUUAAGUCUCUCGUGAAGCACUAUACAAAGCAAAAUUUACCUGAAGUUCGAGGUCCCAUCAUUAUAGUAUCAGGUAUGUAUUGGCUUCCCACCUUGUUCCUUUUUCCGGUUAGCUUAGUCCAUAAAUGAAUAAUUGGAAGUAUUAGAAAGAAAGUAUGGAUUCACCUGAUCACAUCUGAGAUAUUAUCUUUGAUGGUUUCUGUUUAUCUCAUGUUUCGUCUUGAUUGUGAUUUUUAUCUCCUUCAAAAAGGAGGUAGAGAGGAUAUCAAAUAUGCUGGAGGUGUUGGGUGGUUGUGGAAAUUAUUCAUUUAACAUAUUACAGUAUAUCCAUUUUCUUGUUCCUUAUCCUUUUCCUGCUCCUCAUUUCAAUUACAAUGGUAGGCUUUUGAGAUGGACUCCGUACUUUAGAGAAGACCAUAAUUAAAUUUUCCUAAUACUUCCCCUUAGCCCAUAUAUCAUUUCAAGUUUAAUGAAUGAAAUAAAAGAGAAAAGCUAAUUUUCUUGUAUAAAGAUGUUUUUGUGUAGGAGGUUAUUUUACUUUCAUUUGGGUUUCUUUCAACUUAAUAUACUCUGCAUUCAGAAUAACUUCAGCUGGCUGGUUUUUACUGGGUUUUGAAAUUAUAUUUAGUUCUCCACAAGCAAGACAUGCCUCCAAAAUCAGUUGGGACAUGGUAUACAGUGAAUGCUUGGUUUCGCGUCCGAGUAAUCUGCUGUGGUUGUGAUGCUGUUACUGACUCUGAUAUGUAUAUAAACUGUCAAAUUGUAUUUUAUAGCUAUAGUUUUUUUCUCUUUUCGUUUUUUUGCUACGUGAUCGAGGAUAUGCUUUUCUGCUUUAUUGCAAUAUGUUAGUAACUUGUCUUGUCAAAUGAGCACUUAAGCCCGGUAGGCAAGGCACUUUGUAGGAUGAAUGUGUGCCUUGCUAAAUUGCUGUUUCGGUGGAAGCUCUUAGUUGGUGAUUCAACACAAAACCUAGGUUAAUUAUGAAAUUCUUGAGUUUUGCCUAUAGGUUGACUCUAAAUCAUUAAGGUGGCUGGAUCAAUUUAGUGUGAAGUGUUAAGGAAACUCGGCAGAUGGAAAUAUUCUAGUCACUACUCCCUAGGAAUAGGAAAUUAAAAUAUUUUUACACUAGAGUUGGUUACUUCUUACAAUUGCAUUGUGAACUAAAAACUUAACCAGAAAUAGAGUGGAACUUGAACUACUAUGGUUUUUAUCCACCAAUAUAUUAACUUAAUAUGCAGUGUUUUAUUUCCAUCAAUUUUGCGUCUUUUUUCAUUUAGUUGAGCCUUGCUAAUAUACCCCAUAAAGCAGGUUUUGGUGCUUUUCUAUGCCUUUCUUCUUUGACAUUAUUGAUAAUAUCUACAGGACUUUUUUUUCCCUUUUGAUGUACCAAAAUAAGGUGUCAACUUAAUCAAUUAGAAGAGUAGCUAUAUAUGCAGUAUUGGCAUAACUAUAUUCUAUUGCGUUUUACUUGGAUCUUUGGUAUUGGAAAAUUAUUGUUAAUUCAUUUGUGACAUUGUAGGUAAGCAGAGACGUUUGCAGUUUAUAGAGUGUCCGAAUGAUAUCAAUGGAAUGAUUGAUGUGGCAAAGUUUGCGGAUUUGGCAUUGCUUCUCAUUGAUGGUAGCUAUGGCUUUGAAAUGGUGCGCUUUUGUUUCAUAAGAGAAAAAAGACUCUUUAGGAUAAGCAUAAGAUUGUUCUAGCGUUUUCUCAUUGAAUAUGUAGCAACUACUCUAGUCUAAGGAUGGGUUAUUCGUAGUGAGUUAUGUGAGAUUGAAUUAUAUGCAGAUAUUAUCAUUAAUGUAAGUUCUUGAUUCCUCUGUCUUUCAAAUUGAUCCUCUUUGUCCCAUUUUAUUUGACACGCCUUUUCUCAUGACAUGCAAAAAUAUUAGUACUUGAAGAAAGUGUAAUACUUUAUUACUUUAUACCAUGAUUUCCUCAUUAAUACCUGAUCACUUUCAACAACUAUUUUCAGUGCUAUCUUCUAACACUAUAAAUUCAAUAUGCUAGUUAAGUUAUUUAAUGGUGUGUUUGAUCAAAAUCUCUCACAGAAUAGCAGAGGGAGUAUCAGUUAGAUUCCUUAAACAAACUUAAUUGGUUAUAUUAAAAUUGACAUUUGUUGCAUGCUUCCAUCUUGUUAGCAAGGUAACACAGCGGGUGUUAUAUUCUUUCUGUAGUACCUUUCACAUUUACUGAUUGGUGAUUUCUGCCAACUUUAUUUCCUCUAAGAAAAUUUCUCGGCUGAUAUUUUUUUUGUUGGUAGACCUUGUGAUUGGUUUAAUUAAUUUUGCAGGAGACCUUUGAAUUCCUUAAUAUACUGCAAAAUCAUGGAUUUCCUAAAGUUAUGGGUGUUCUUACACAUCUCGACCAGUUCAAGGAUGUUAAGAAGCUCAGAAAGACAAAACAACGGUUAAAACAUAGAUUUUGGACUGAGAUAUAUGAUGGAGCUAAAUUAUUUUAUUUGUCUGGUCUUAUCCAUGGGAAGUAAGUCCCUGGCUUCCAUAUUUGAAAAUACAUGUUUAGCAUGCUACAUUGAUAUAAUGUAAUAUUUCUAUUUAAUUUCUGAAACAAUUUUUUGUUAAUGAGUAGGUACUCUAAACGUGAAGUGCAUAAUCUUGCUCGGUUUAUCUCUGUCAUGAAGUUUCCUCCUUUAUCCUGGCGCAUGUCCCACCCCUACAUUGUUGUAGAUCGAUUUGAAGAUCUAACUCCCCCUGAAAAAGUGUGCAUGGACAACAAGUGUGACAGAAAUGUCAUUUUGUACGGUUAUCUUCGUGGUUGUAAUAUGAAGAAAGGAACAAAGGUCUGUGAUGUGAAUGCUUUGUUUCUUGUACUUUACUUGUAUUUGGUUGGGAAAUAACUUUUAGUAGUACAGUUUCAAAAAAUAACUUUUAGUACUACAGUUUCAAAAAAUAACUUUUAGUACUAAUUCAUGUCAAAUAAAAUUCUGAUUAUGCUGUGAACUGGCUGUUUAUAGGCAUAGAAGCAAAGGUUCGUGCACCCUAUAAGGUCAAUUGAAAGUAAUAAAGUUGCUGAGACUUGAGAGAUGGCAUAGCAAUAUGCCUAACAUCUUAUGGAGUGUUAGUUGGCUCUAUUGGGCUACAAAUAGAUGAACUUUAAGAGUGACAAUACAACAGAUCUGGUUCAAAGACUUAGGGAAAAUCAUCAAGCUUAACGUUCAAAUGCAUAUUAUGUAUCUAGUGGCUAAUAUAGAGAAUUUUGGCUAUAGUUUUAGAAAUUUCGCGUAUAGUAUGGACCUUUGGCCUUUUUGGUGUAAACUUAUCAUAUGUGAGGAGGAAAAAUGAGACUCUUAUCAAUGUUUUGUAGAUUUUGCACAGAGAAUCUUUUGUAGCGUCCAACAUUAGCUUAGUGCUUGGCUAUUUCACUUGUGAAUAAUAUUUUCUUUACUUGUCAACAAUUAGAGUUUGUGAAUUCUACUGUUCGAUGUACUAUUGAAAGGGAACAAGUUAUCUCCCUUUCAUAACAUAGUAGAGAAGAUCGGGAAAGAUGGAAGCCUUUGGGAUACAAACUCACUAGUUGUAUAAUGACUCAUGUGAAGACCGUGUCAUUUUAUUUAUAUCUAGUUAUUUUAAUAUAUGGUGUUUCAGCUAGUGAUUUAGCAGUUUAUUUCUCCCUUGUCCAUAAUCUAAAGCUGCUUCACAAUAUGACCAGGUACAUAUUGCUGGUGUUGGUGAUUAUAGUUUAGCUGGUAUAACAGCAUUACCCGAUCCAUGCCCUCUACCAUCUGCUGCCAAGAAGAAGGGACUAAGGGACAAGGAAAAGCUGUUUUAUGCCCCCAUGUCUGGAUUGGGCGAUCUUCUUUAUGAUAAGGAUGCUGUGUAUAUAAACAUAAAUGAUCACUUUGUCCAGUUCUCUAAGGUUGAUGAAACAGCUGCUGUUGGGGGUCGCAGAGGUAAAUAUUUCCUCUCUGUUUCUUAUAAACCUAUAUUUUUUUUAAAAAAAAAAUAGACGAAUUCCAAAUUUUUUUAGCUUAUGGGAAAUUCACAUUCCCUUAAUUAGUUCAGCAAGAUAAGUGAUAUGCCUCAGGCUAUCUUUUGGUUAUAGGUUUUUUUGUUGUUUGAAUUGGUAAGUUCUUAUUCAUAAACAGCUAUAGCUUUAAAAUUUGCUGCUUUACCAAUUAGUAGGGCUUGAAUGUCGUUGCUUUCCCUUUCUUGCUCUGGAUUCCUUCCAUCCCUAUCAGUUACUCAUCAUAAUUUCUGGCUGAACUCUACUUAUUAUUGGUCAAGCGACUUAAUAAGACCAAAUGUUGAUUAUGAAAUCUUCUCUUGUGCUGGUGUUUGUGUCAUCCAUUUCCUCCACGUUCAGUCUUUCUCUCUCUUUUGUGUUCGAAGGAGUGCUAUUUGCUUAGAUGGUGUUAGAAGUUUUAUGAGAACUCCUAUAUGUUGCAAAAUUUUAGUACAUCUUUUUACCAAUUGCUUAGAUACCGUCGGGACAGGAAUGGGCGUUGUUAAUCUUAUGAUCGAUACUAGUUUCUGUGAAAACCUUAUGAUCGAUAGUAGUUUGUUGGAUUGUGUUCAUUUUCACUAAGCUGACCAAUUGAAAAGAAAAAUUGAGUUAUGUUACUGUCAUCUCCCUACCAUGUUAUUACGAAAAAUGGUCCAUACAUUUGUCAAACUACAUUAGGUGGAUGCCAAUAGCAACUAAUGCGUGAAAAAAAAUAAAAGAACAGGAUUAUGUUAGAUACAAUUUUUUUAAUUCUUUUUUGCAUAGACUAAUAAUUAAAAAUCUCACCCGUGUCAUGCAUGGAUCUACAACUAGUUUUUUUUUUUAACACUGGUAAUUUGUAUUUUUCAGUAUUACGGGCUUUGACUAGUUUUCUUAAUAAUGGAUAAAGAAAAUAUUGGAUGUUGAGACCACCUUUUUCCAACAUGCUAUAUGUUCUUAUUUUAUUUUUUGGGUCACAACUUUUGGCAAGACAUUUUCCCACUGACAAGUAUUAUCCUCCUGAUCUCAGGGAAGGGAAAUGAUGUCGGAGAGGCUUUAGUUAAAUCACUUCAGAACACGAAGUAUUCAAUCGAUGAGAAGUUAGAAAAUAGUUUUAUUUCCCUUUUUGGGAAAAAACAUAAUCCAUCCUCAUCAAAUCAUGAUUUGGUGCUUGCGGAGCGAGAUCUGUCUGGGUUUGAACCCAACAGGGAUGGAUCAGAUGAAGACAAUGAUGCUGAAGAUUUGAAUGAGUUGGAACCAUUACAGUUGGAGCGUACUCAUCCGAAGGAGUCAAAGGACACCUCUGAUGAUAGUUCUGAGGAAGAAGAUACUAUUGGAUCAGAGAAGCACCCAGGAUUGAGUAGUAGUUUCAGGGAACAUGUUGAUUUCCAUGAUGGAAGAAUGAGAAGAAAAGCUAUCUUUGAUAAUGAUAAUGAUUUUGAUGAAAAGGUAAGCCAAUGACAUUCCUGAUCUAGUUCCUGUCCUUCUCGUUGUGCCUCAUCUUGUCUAUGAGGUGUUUGUGUAUAGCGGAUAAAAAACAAGUAGACAGCUAUCUGUAC
rnacentral:lncRNA from 1 species